ACUCCUACGGGAGGCAGCAGUGGGGAAUAUUGCACAAUGGGCGCAAGCCUGAUGCAGCCAUGCCGCGUGUGUGAAGAAGGCCUUCGGGUUGUAAAGCACUUUCAGUUGUGAGGAAGGUGGUGUCGUUAAUAGCGGCAUCAUUUGACGUUAGCAACAGAAGAAGCACCGGCUAACUCCGUGCCAGCAGCCGCGGUAAUACGGAGGGUGCGAGCGUUAAUCGGAAUUACUGGGCGUAAAGCGCAUGCAGGUGGUUUGUUAAGUCAGAUGUGAAAGCCCGGGGCUCAACCUCGGAACUGCAUUUGAAACUGGCAGACUAGAGUACUGUAGAGGGGGUAGAAUUUCAGGUGUAGCGGUGAAAUGCGUAGAGAUCUGAAGGAAUACCGGUGGCGAAGGCGGCCCCCUGGACAGAUACUGACACUCAGAUGCGAAAGCGUGGGGAGC
rnacentral:rRNA from 1 species